rnacentral:rRNA from 1 species
UACGGAGGGGGCAAGCGUUGUUCGGAAUUACUGGGCGUAAAGGGCGCGUAGGCGGCCUUCUAAGUCGGACGUGAAAUCCCCGGGCUCAACCCGGGAACUGCGUCCGAUACUGGAAGGCUUGAAUCCGGGAGAGGGAGGCGGAAUUCCAGGUGUAGCGGUGAAAUGCGUAGAUAUCUGGAGGAACACCGGUGGCGAAGGCGGCAUCCUGGACCGGCAUUGACGCUGAGGCGCGAAAGCCUGGGGAGCAAACGGG